GAUCCCGUAAGGGUAGUGAAGCUGCUCGUAGUAUUCCUGUUCCGCCCCGUUGGCCCGGACGUCGCUGUCGCGGUCGCGAUAGUCCAGCAGGCAAUCGACCAACUCGUCGGUCAUCAUCGGCAGGCCCCCCAGCGUGUCCCCAUCGGCGAUGUUGAUGUUGAUCUUGCUCGCCUGGU
rnacentral:rRNA from 1 species